CUUUUUGGAUGUCUCCUCUUCAAGUGCUGGUUUCUCUUCAAAUAAUAGUUCGUUAGGUGUUUCUUCCCGUUUUGGUUCUUCAGGUGCUUCUUCAGUUAUUGGUUUUGCAGCUUUCUCCUCAAUUGUCUCCUCAACCAAUGGUUCUUCAAGCUUCUCUUCCAUUGUUGUUUCUUUAGGUUUCUCUUCAAUUGCCGGUGGUUCAGGUUUUUUCUCAUCCACUGGUUCUUCUGGCUUCUCUGAAACUGCUGUUUCUUCUGAUUUCUCUUCAAUUGCUUGUUCUUCAUGUUUUUUUUCAACUACUGGCUCUUCAGUUUUUUCCUCAACUGAUGCAUAGUCAGCAAUGUCGUUGGUAUUGCAUGGAAUUGCAUUGUCUGUCUUGUCCUUUGAGUUUACAAUUGGCAAAUUAUGCAAGAAAAUUUUAAGUUUCAUUUAGUCUUUCAACAGAUAAACUUAUGUAAAUUCGUUGCACAUAUAAAGCUAAUAUGAUGGAUAGUUUUUAUGACAGUGUUUAUUUGUCACCUUCUCCUGAAGAGCUUCUGUUUCAGGUUCUUCCUCUUCAAUUGCUGGUUUUUCAUCUUUCUUUUCAACAACUAGUUCUUCAGAUGUGUCUUCAACUGUUGGUUCUUCAGGUUUCUCUUCAAGAGCUAGUUCUUCAGGUGUUUCCUCCCCUGCAAGCUCUUCAGGUGUUUCUAUAGUCGCCGGUUCUUCAGGUUUCUCUGUAAUCUCUAGUUCAGGUUUCUCCUCAACUGGUACUUCAGAUUUCUCCUCAAAUGUUGGUUCUUCAGGUUUCUCCUUAAUAGCUGGUACACCAGGUUUCUCUUCAAUGAGUGGUUCUUCAGUUUUUUCUUCAACUGCCGAUUCUUCAGGAUUUUCCUCACUGUCUGGAGAGUGUGCAACAUCAUUAUUGGUAUUGCAUGGGAUUUCACUGCCAGUUUUUUCGUUCGAGUCUACAAUUAGCAUAUUCUGCAAAAAGAAUUUAAUGUUUCACUUAGCCUUUCAAUAAAGAUGCAGAUGUGAAUCAUAGUACAUACAUAACUAACAAAAUGGAUAAACUUUGUGAUAGUGCUUGACCCUUACCUUUUCCAAAAGAGUUACCUUUUCAGGUUUCUCCUCUUCCAUGGCUGGUUCUUCAUGUAUCUCUUCAAAUGCUAGUUCCUUAGGUGUUUCUUCAAUUACUUGUUUUUCAGGUUUCUCCUCAAUUUUUGGUUCUUUGAUUGUCUCCUCAACUGAUGGUACUUCAAGCUUUUCUCCCACGGUUGGUUUUUCAGGUUUCUCUUCAACUGUCGGUUGUUCAGGUAUUUUCUCAACCGCUGGUUCUUCUGGUUUCCCCGAAACCCUUGAUUCUUCAGAUUUUUCUUCAAUUGCUGAUUCUUCAGAUAUCUCUUCAACUAUUGCUUCUUCAGUUUUUUCCUCAACUGAUGCAUAGUCAGCAAUGUCAUUGUUGGUAUUGCAUGGAAUUGCAUUGUCUAUUGUGUUCUUUGAGUUUACAAUUGGAAAAUUCUGCAAGAAAAUUUAAAGUUUCAUCUAGUCUUUCAAUAGAUAAACAUGUAAAUGCGUUG
rnacentral:lncRNA from 1 species